AUUGAACGCUGGCGGCAUGCCUUACACAUGCAAGUCGAACGGUAACAGGUCUUCGGAUGCUGACGAGUGGCGAACGGGUGAGUAAUAUAUCGGAACGUGCCCAGUAGUGGGGGAUAGCCCGGCGAAAGCCGGAUUAAUACCGCAUACGACCUGAGGGUGAAAGGGGGGGAGUCGCAAGAACCUCUCGCUAUUGGAGCGGCCGAUAUCAGAUUAGGUAGUUGGUGGGGUAAAGGCCUACCAAGCCUGCGAUCUGUAGUUGGUCUGAGAGGACGACCAGCCACACUGGGACUGAGACACGGCCCAGACUCCUACGGGAGGCAGCAGUGGGGAAUUUUGGACAAUGGGCGCAACCUGAUCCAGCAAUGCCGCGUGCAGGAAGAAGGCCUUCGGGUUGUAAACUGCUUUUGUCAGGGAAGAAAUCCUCUGGGUUAAUACCUCGGGGGGAUGACGGUACCUGAAGAAUAAGCACCGGCUAACUAUGUGCCAGCCGCCGCGGUAAGAC
rnacentral:rRNA from 1 species